rnacentral:lncRNA from 1 species
AUUUUACCUAGUUUCUUACAUUGUUUAGUUUUUAGGAAAUAAAACUAAAUAAAACUCAUGUGCUAAGUUUUUGUUUUUGUUUAUUUUAAAGGUCUUUGACUGGAAACAGAAUGAGCAAGACAAAGGAGAUCAGGGAUGUGAUCUAUAAGAUUGGAAGAGAGUGACCUGAAAAGGGGACUUAACCAGUGCCAGCAAGUGUACUUGAAGAGUAUUUCCAAAUACUGAACAUGUGACUGGAACUAUUGAGAACACUGAUAUUGUGACAUUUUCGGUGUUGGCGGAGCUCUUUAUGUCAAAUCUGGUCUUCUUUAAUUUUAAUCAACACGUUUUGUAGUUAUCAAUGUAAGGGUAUUUCACCGAAGAUUAAGAUUUGAAUAUUAAUGUGCCUUUUUUCAUCUAUUGAUACAAAUCUCAUGCCUUUUCCAUUGUAACUUAUAAAUAUGGUAAUGUGUCAUAAUAUACUUUCUGAUCUUCAAUAAAACCAAUAAGACUAUUGUGUAUUUAUUUUAUCAUUGCUGUAUUUG